rnacentral:rRNA from 1 species
AUUGAACGCUGGCGGCAUGCCUUACACAUGCAAGUCGAACGGUAACAGGUUAAGCUGACGAGUGGCGAACGGGUGAGUAAUGUAUCGGAACGUGCCCAGUCGUGGGGGAUAACUGCUCGAAAGAGCAGCUAAUACCGCAUACGACCUGAGGGUGAAAGCGGGGGUUGCCAGACCCCGCGCGAUUGGGACCGCCGAUAACAGAUUAGGUAGUUGGUGAGGUAAAGGCUCACCAAGCCGACGAUCUGUAGCUGGUCUGAGAGGACGACCAGCCACACUGGGACUGAGACACGGCCCAGACUCCUACGGGAGGCAGCAGUGGGGAAUUUUGGACAAUGGGCGCAAGCCUGAUCCAGCCAUGCCGCGUGCGGGAAGAAGGCCUUCGGGUUGUAAACCGCUUUUGUCAGGGAAGAAAAGGUUCUGGCUAAUACCUGGGACUCAUGACGGUACCUGAAGAAUAAGCACCGGCUAACUACGUG